UACGUAGGGUGCGAGCGUUGUCCGGAAUUAUUGGGCGUAAAGAGCUCGUAGGCGGCCUGUUACGUCUGCUGUGAAAGCCCGGGGCUCAACUCCGGGUCUGCAGUGGAUACGGGCAGGCUAGAGUCCGGCAGGGGAGACUGGAAUUCCUGGUGUAGCGGUGAAAUGCGCAGAGUAUCAGGAGGAACACCGGUGGGCGAAGGCGGGGUCUCUGGGCCGGUACUGACGCUGGAGGAGCGAAAGCCGUGGGGAGCGAACAGG
rnacentral:rRNA from 1 species